CAUCUUUGCAAAAUAUUUGGUUGGCGCCGCAGGCGCCAUUAAAAGGGAAGUCCGGUGUAAAUCCGGCGCUAUCCCCGUAGCUGUAAGGUUGUGAAUAGAGAAUGAGCAAAAGGCAAUAUAGAAUUGAGCUUGUAUUGCUGCUAACUUUCACUAUUCAUUUGCUGAAGCUUCUGCCACUGUCUCGCUUUAAGCAAGAUGGGAAGGCACCAGCACAAAACCAAGCCAGAAGACCUGCCGGGUAUAAUUCUUUACA
rnacentral:ncRNA from 2 species